AUGUGUUGCUACCUGGGUGCUGUCAUGGGAAGCCACCCAAAAAUCAUCUGUGACUCAGAAACAGGACCCUUUAAUGACUGGUGGGCAGAAUUCUACAGCUUUUCCUUCGUCCAGAUACAGUACAGGCGUACCUCAUCUAUGACAGCCAGAGCUAAGUUGCACUGGGAUGUCAAGGAGAUAGUUAGCACACAUCCUUGGAUAUUCAGCAAAGUUCAAAAGGCUGUUUAUUUUAAAGUGUGCCAAGAUAAGAGUGGCAAACACGCUUGGUUAACUUCCAUGCGUUCCUUCCUUGUUGCUUGUUGUUAUCUUAGAUGUUGCAAAACCAAUGCCUUAUUUUCUCCUUAUGCAGAUUUUCCAAGAGAUACAGAUCGGACGCAGAUUGAGCCCAGCAUGUAUCUUACGUCGCUUCUUUCAGGCCUGAUUUAAUCUCAGUUCAAAGGUGGUCUUUUCUUGGUGAGUAAACAGAGGGAGGCUACAAAAACAGCUGCGGGAGUUGCUUU
rnacentral:lncRNA from 1 species